rnacentral:rRNA from 1 species
GAUUAACGCUGGCGGCGUGCAUAACACAUGCAAGUCGAACGAUGAAACUCAUUAGAUUUCUUCGGAAUGAAAAUGAAUGGAGUAGGGGCGAACGGGGGAGUAACGCGUGAGUAACCUGCCUUACACAAGGGGAUAGCCUCCGGAAACGGAGAAUAAUACCCUAUGAAACCAGACAAUCGCAUGAUAAGCUGGUCAAAAUGUUUAGUGGUGUAAGAUGGACUUGCGUCUGAUUAGCUAGUUGGUGAGAUAAAAGCUCACCAAGGCAACGAUCAGUAGCCGGGUUGCGAGAGUGUACGGCCACAUUGGGACUGGGACACGGCCCAGACUCCUCCGAGAGGCAGCAGUGGGGAAUUUUGCACACUGGGGGAGACCCUGAUGCCGCGACGCCGCGUGAUUUAGAAGGCCUUCGGGUUGUAAAAGUCUUUUGUCUAGGAAGAAAAUGACAGUACUAUACGAAUAAGGUCCGGCUAAUUACGUG